rnacentral:rRNA from 1 species
GAUGAACGCUGGCGGCGUGCCUAAUACAUGCAAGUCGAGCGAACCACUUCGGUGGUGAGCGGCGAACGGGUGAGUAACACGUAGGUGAUCUGCCCAUCAGACGGGGACAACGAUUGGAAACGAUCGCUAAUACCGGAUAGGACGAAAGUUUAAAGGUGCUUCUGGCACCGCUGAUGGAUGAGCCUGCGGCGCAUUAGCUAGUUGGUAGGGUAAAGGCCUACCAAGGCGACGAUGCGUAGCCGACCUGAGAGGGUGAACGGCCACACUGGGACUGAGACGCGGCCCAGACUCCUACGGGAGGCAGCAGUAGGGAAUCUUCGGCAAUGGGCGAAAGCCUGACCGAGCAACGCCGCGUGAAUGAUGAAGGCCUUCGGGUUGUAAAAUUCUGUUAUAAGUGAAGAACGACUUUAGUAGGAAAUGGCUAGAGUGUGACGGUACCUUAUGAGAAAGCCACGGCUAACUACGUGCCAGCAGCCGCGGUAA